UUGGAUGACCGGCUAACCCGGUCAUCCACUAUAAAUACUUCCUUAUCACUCCCUCCCUCAUAACCCUAGCGCCGUUCCCCUUUCUUCUUCCUCUUCUCUUCUUUUCUUCUUCCUCACCGGCUCCGACCCGCCACCUCACCGCCUCCUCACCGCCACCAAACCCUCCUCACCGCCUCCUCACCACCACCAAACACCCACAACCUCAAACAAAACCCACCUCUCCGCCCCCAAACACCCACAACCACAACCAAAACCACCUCACCGCCACCAAACAACCUUCACCGCCACCAAACCCGCCUCACCGCCUCCUCAUCGCCACCAAACACCCACCACCGCAACCAAAACUUACCCCAGCCGCCACCAAAGCUUCAAUCUGGACCCAAAUCGCCCCUCAAGCACUGGAUCAGAGACAUGCAGGCCUUCUUCAAGCGCCACCCUCCGCCACCGCCACAAGAUCGCCCCUCAAGCACAUGCAGGCCUUCUACAAGCUUCUGUAAUUUUUUUUUUUCAUUUUUCUUUGUAAAAAUUUAAUCUUCUGAAGCUUUGUAAUUAUUUUCUAUUUUUAUUGUUUGAAUAAAAUUGUAGGUAGUUCAUGCAAUAUGUUUCUACUAUUUCUUCCCUCUGAAAUCUGUUGGAAGUGAAUGUGAGAGAAAGUAUGAUAUUUUAAUUAAGAAACUGAUAAAGCAGAGUUGCUUGCAGAAGCAACUCUGACCACUUUUCCUUAGCUAAGGAACCGUAAGGAACCCUGCUCCAAUUGGUAAGAAACUGGCCCUUGGUUUCUUAGCACCUCCAACCUGGUUAAGAAACCAGCGUUGGAGUUGCUCUUACCUUCCUUAAUGUAAGAUUCCCAUUCAAUUGACUUUAAGCCUGUACGUUGAAAUUCUCAUGAAAUUCCUCUUGAACAAUUGCUAUUAGAUAUAGUGAAUAAAUAGUUUACAGCUUUACUUUUACCUUUACCUUGCUUAUCUUAAUUACUGAGUCGGUUACUUGGUUAAUUGAGAUGGUUUGGAUAGUUAGGUUAGUUUCCUGUUUGUUAGUCAGUUAGCUGAUUGGUUGAGAGUAACUUUACUCUUUGCAUUGUAUAUAACCAAGAACCUCUGUUACAAACCCAAUUCACUCAUUCAUUUUCAGUCAAUAACAAAUUCAGUUUCUUCUACCUUUCUUUCGCUUCUGCAAUUUGUUACGUUG
rnacentral:lncRNA from 1 species